CGGUAAUUCCAGCUCCAAUAGCGUAUACUAAUGUUGUUGCAGUUAAAAAGCUCGUAGUCGGAUUUCAGUGUUCGCUUAGCUUUCACUUAGUGUCAGUCUUCGCUACACUUCUUUGACGAUAACUUGCAUCGCCUUGAUUGGUGGUGUUUGGACUAUUGUCUCUUUUACUUUGAGAAAAUUAGAGUGUUCAAAGCAGGUUUUCACGCCUGAAUAUUACUCUUGGAAUAAUAACAUAUGACUUUGGUUUUUAUUUGUUGGUGAUUAGAGACCGAAGUAAUGAUUGCCAGGGACGGUUGGGGCCACUCGUACUGCAAAGCGAGAGGUGAAAUUCUUGGACCUUUGUAUGACGAACUACUGCGAAAGCAUUUGGCUAGGACGUUCCCGUUGAUCAAGAACGAAAGUUGGGGGAUCGAAGACGAUCAGAUACCGUCGUAGUCUCAACCAUGAACUAUGCCAGCUAGGGAUUGGUGGAUGUUUCUCUAACGACUCCAUCAGCACCUUAUGAGAAAUCAAAGCAUUUGGGUUCCGGGGGGAGUAUGGUCGCAAGGCUGAAACUUAAAGGAAUUGACGGGAGGGCACCACCAGGAGUGGAGCCUGUGGCUUAAUUUGAUUCAACACGGGAAAACUUACCAGGUCCGGACAUGGGAAGGAUUGACAGAUUGAAAGCUCUUUCUUGAUUCUAUGGGUGGUGGUGCAUGGCCGUUCUUAGUUGGUGGAGUGAUUUGUCUGGUUAAUUCCGUUAACGAACGAGACCUCAGCCUGCUAAAUAGUUGCUGUCUUUUCAAAGGCAUUGCAUACUUCUUAGAGGGACUACUUCGCAAACAAGCAAGCGGAAGCUUGAGGCAAUAACAGGUCUGUGAUGCCCUUAGAUGUUCUGGGCCGCACACGGGCUACACUGGUGUUUUCAACAAGCCUUACUACCUUAACCGAAAGGUUCGGGUAAUCUUUGAAAUAACACCGUGCUUGGGAUAGACUAUUGCAAUUUUUAGUCUUCAACGAGGAAUUCCUAGUAAACGCAAGUCAUCAGCUUGCAUUGAUUACGUCCCUGCCCCUUGUACACACCGCCC
rnacentral:rRNA from 1 species